UCCGCAGUGGUGUAAUGGUUAGCAUUUCUGCUUUUCAUAUAGAAAUACGCAGGAGACCAGGGUUCAAUUCCCUGUUGCGGAA
rnacentral:tRNA from 1 species